GCGGUUGUGGCCGAGUGGUUAAGGCGAUGGACUAGAAAUCCAGUGGGGUCUCCUCGCACAGGUUCAAAUCCUGUCGACUGCG
rnacentral:tRNA from 2 species